rnacentral:misc_RNA from 1 species
GCAAACUUGGUCAUUUAGAGGAAGUAAAAGUCGUAACAAGGUUUCCGUAGGUGAACCUGCGGAAGGAUCAUUAUCGAGUACUGACUGGGUUGUAGCUGGCCUUGCCCUGAUCAUCCACUCUACACCUGUGCACUUACUGUGGGUUUCAGAUCGCGGAACGGGUCCCUUUAUGGGGGCUCGGGAAGCGUCUGUGCCUGCGUUUACCACAAACACUAUGCAGUAUUAGAAUGUGUAUUGCGAUGUAACGCAUCUAUAUACAACUUUCAGCAACGGAUCUCUUGGCUCUCGCAUCGAUGAAGAACGCAGC